GAGGAAUAUUGGACAAUGGAUGGAAAUCUGAUCCAGCCAUGCCGCGUGAAGGAGACGGUCCUAUGGAUUGUAAACUUCUUUUGUAUGGGAGCAAUAAGGUGUACGCGUACACCGAUGAGAGUACCAUACGAAUAAGCAUCGGCUAACUCCGUGCCAGCAGCCGCGGUAAUACGGAGGAUGCGAGCGUUAUCCGGAUUUAUUGGGUUUAAAGGGUGCGUAGGCGGAACUGUAAGUCAGCGGUGAAACGCAGGGGCUCAACCCCUGACCUGCCGUUGAAACUGUAGAUCUGGAAUACGGAUGCUGUGGGAGGAAUGUGUAGUGUAGCGGUGAAAUGCAUAGAUAUUACACAGAACACCGAUUGCGAAGGCAUCUCACAAAUCCGUCAUUGACGCUGAGGCACGAAAGUGUGGGGAUCAAAC
rnacentral:rRNA from 1 species